UGGUAACGACUACACGUGGCUAGUGCAGCAUUAGCCAUUUAAACCAACGAUGAUCAUUAAAUCUAUUAUAAACAUUUAAGGACUUGUGUGUUGUAAAAGAGCCUCACAUGGUGUGUAAAGCAGUUUUUGCGCUAAUAGUUCUGCUAGCUCUUUACAAACCUAUGAUGCUAACGUUAAUUGCUAACGUUAACCGGAGCGCUAAGCUUCAAGCUGCUGACGAACUCCGUCAAGACAUGCAGAUCAGCAUCAAUGUCCACGUGAAGAACCUAGUUAUGUUGCCAGUGUCAACCCAACAAAAGGCACUUUCACAAUAUAUAAAAGAAGUGUAUGGAACUGAGGUGCUUCUCAGGAGCUGCUUCAGUUGUUGGAGGAUGGAGAAGAGGACGCAGCCAUGACUUGUGAGACGGCGUCUGAGUCAGCUACUACUCACUAGGAGAUCAGAAACAUGGUGUCCUUGCAAAAGUGGAAAGAGGCCAGGCCUUGUCUUAUAGACAAUAUGUUAGCUACUCUGGAUCCACUGUCACACCGUGUGUGUCAGUGUGGCAAACAAGUAGUUGUGAGGUGUCUGGACUGCCUGCCUCUUCCAUUCCUUUGUGCUGAGUGUGAUAUUGCAGUUCACACACGCUUUGUCCUGCACAACCAAGAGGCAGUAACAGGAGGGUUUUUGCAGCCUUCAUCAGAGUUUCACAAGCCAAUAGUUCGGCUGUUGCCUGUGCAAAGGCCAGACCAUGUGUGUGACUGCCCAGCAGGUAACGUUGAGGUUUCACCCGGCGCAGUUGUGGCUCUUGUAACCAUAAAUGGCUGUUAUAACCUUGCACUGCCAGUGGUGAGCUGCACCAGCUGUGACCUAAUGUGGUCCCCCUCAGUUAAGGACAUCCUGGGUAGUGGAUAUUGGCCUGGCACCUUAAAUUUCUGCACCCUGUUUUCAAUGGAUGUCUUUCAGUCUUUCUAUGACAUUAAGAAGGCUGCACCAGGGAUGUCACUUAAGGCAUUUGUCAAAAUGCUGG